GUUUCCGAUAGACCCUUGGCUCAACUAAAGCAUUUCAAAGUAGGUUUGAAAAUGAAAUACGGUCGUGAAGAAACCAUAUAUUGGAAGAGCUAUAAAUCCCUUGUUUGAGCUUCACAAAAUAUAGUCGCUCCCAAGUUCAGAUGAAGGAGAAGAGUUGCAUUAAUUUGAUGACUAACAUGAAAGUUGUUUAACUAUGAUGAAUCUUCUGAAUAAUGGAAUGAAAUGCAACGGAAUAGAGGGGAAUGGACAUAGAGGAUAAUUCUAAAUAAUUUAGAGCUUCUAGAGGAUUGACAGAGAAACCAGAUGUUUACCUAUAGGAGGUCAAUUUCUUUUUAUCAACUAUGGCUUGUCUUUGUAAAAGGUGAAUUGUUCCUCAAAUUGUUUACGCGUGAGGUAAUUACCAGAUUUUAGUUUUGCCUCAAUACUUGUCAGGUUUGGCGUAUUACUCAGAACUCACAGCUGUUGGGCUAAACUUGAUUUAGGUAUACACAAGAAACUUUUAGAAAACCACACUGUUCAAGAUCAUCAAAAGUUGGGCCCUAAUGAUAGACAUCAGAUUGCGGAGAAAAUAAUAUGUAGCUUCCAGAAUGAAACUUCUUGUAGAUUUUGAGAUUGGAAGAAAUCAUUUCAACUUGCUAGAGUAGCUUUGAAUUCAACUUAAUAUGAUUUAUUUGUUAAUACCUCUUGUCCUGGCAUAUUACUUGUAAGUACAAGAUAUUAUUCUCUUUAAAUGCAAUUAAUAAUUGAAUUAUUUUAACUUCCUAAGCAACUUUUACUUGGAAUAUGAUUUGUUGGCUAACAGAUCAAUUGUUUUUCUAAAUUGUAUAUAAAUAAACUGCAUGACAGCGCUUCAGAAUAGGGAAUGGGGAGCAUAUUUUGUUAGAAAAGUGGAUAGGAGAUAUGGUUACCAAAAAAAAAAAAGUUGAUAGGAAAUAACAGCCUGAAGGAGGAGGAGUUCCUCAGAUCUUUUUUCAAGCAGUUCCAAUGCUAAUCUUAGUCAGCUAGGAGACGGGGGACUGUUGGAAAAUUUCUUUUAGAAGGCCUGCCAAGAUUGGGAAGUUGCAAGUAUUGUCCUAAAUUCAUAGUGCCCAGUUUCAGCUACAAGAGGCACUAUUUACAGUGUGGAGACAGAAAGCAAACUAGCCUGCUUCAACUGGUUGGAUAUUGUAAAGAAUGGAUCUUGGGCCGAAUUCAACCUCAAAAGCUAGAUCAUGAGGGGAGGAUUGUCCAAGUCCAUAUAAGGAGACCAAUUAUCCAUCCCUAUUCUGAUGUGGGAUACUUAACAGAUAUCAUGGGCCACGUCUAACUCAAGAUAACCUAAGGGAAAGAGGGUCACUUAUCAAGAAUCAGCUCAUAACUCAUAGAUUGCUUUGCUAGCGGUCUUGGAUGCAUUGCGCGAGUUUCCUUGUUCAAAUAUGUUUGUUUUUGGUAUUGGGGCACUGACACAGUUUGUUGAACGUCUGAUUGAAUGGCCCUAUUACUGCAGUCGUAUCGUGAAAGUAUAUCGUCUGCGUACAGAUCAUCCGGAGCUUGUUGAGUUCAUUGAACAGGAUGUUGCCAGGACUUCACAGGCACAUGCAGGCCAUUGUCCUGCUGUAGAUGCAGGACAUGAAGCAGAAGCUCGCUUGUAUUUCCAUCAAAUGUUCUCUGGUCAGCUGACUAAUGAUGCAAUGAUUGAAAUGCUUGCUCACUUUAAAGGAUCAACUGAUAACAGGGAACGAGCAAUUUUCCGGUGCAUGAUUGUUAUGCUGUUCGGUGAAUUCAAACUGGUGUUGGCGCAGUUUGUUGACCGUCUGAUUGAAUGGUCACAAUACUGCAUUCGGAUCGUGCAAAUAUCUCAUCUACGUUCAAGUCAUCCAGAGCUUGUUGCAUUUGUUGAGCGUGCACUUUCAAGAGUUUCACCGGCACAUGCAAGUCAUAGUUCUGUUGCUGAUGGUUAUGCUAAUGAUAUUGAAGCAGAAGCAACCUUGCACUUCCACCAAAUGUUCUCUGGUCAGCUGACUAGUCAUGCAAUGAUUCAAAUGCUUGCUCAUUUCAAAGGAUCAGCAGAUAAUAGGGAACAAGCAAUUUUCCAGUGCAUGAUUGCUAAGCUUUGUAGAGAAUGCAAACUUUAUGCCAUGUACCCAGAAAGGCAGCUGAAAAUUGCUGCUGCUUUCUUAGAGUCACUUACAAAUCAGUUAUAAAUUUGGUUUGUAAAAUUUGUAAUCAAGCUCUGCGAGCUGUCUUGGAUGAAUUGCACGAGGACACAGUUUUUCUUUUUAACUUAAAUGUUAGCUUCGCAUUACUGAUGGCUUCUCUUCAUUCAGAUAUCUGAUGCUGGGUAUCUGCAGACUGCGACUGUCAAGUUUUAGGUGGAUACUUCAAGAUAUUUGAUCCAUCGACGAGUUCCCCAUAUUGUGCAUAUUUCAGUUGCGCUCCUUUGACUGGGUGCAUUGCGAAUUAGUUUUUGGCCCCAGUCUUGAUUCAGCAACUUCUGAUGGUUAUUGAAAUGGAAGCAAAAAUUACAAAUUGUGUUAUUAUCUUUCCUCACAAAUCCUUUCUUCAUUUUCACAAUUGCUUAUAACCUCUUAAGAUCAAAUGAUUGACAUUGGACUUAGCAUAUAUUCAUUGAUGGACCAACGUGGGCACAAUUCAAAAUUAAUGCAAAUUUGUGCUUUUAAUCC